rnacentral:rRNA from 1 species
CGAAAGUUAGGGGAUCAAAGACGAUUAGAUACCGUCCUAGUCUUAACUGUAAACGAUUCCAUCUUAGAAUUGGGUGAAUAUUUGAUGAUUCAUCCAGCGCUAUAAGAGAAAUCAAAGUCUUUGGGUUCUUGGUGGAGUACGAUCGCAAGAUUGAAACUUAAAGGAAUUGACGGUUUUGCACACCAUGGAGUGGAGCCUGUGGCUUAAUUUGACAACACUGGGAAACUCAUCAGGACAACAAAGUUUUAGGAUUGACAGAUUGAUAGCUCUUUCUUGAUUGACUUAAUGGUGGUGCAUGGCCGUUCUUAGUUGGUGGAGUGAUUUGUCUGGUUAAUUCCGUUAACGAACGAGACCUUAACCUACUAACUAGUACGACGUGACGAACGUUAGUUACUUCUUAGAGGGACAAUGUGUAUUUUAACACAAGGAAGUUUAAGGCAAUAACAGGUCUGUGAUGCCCUUAGAUGUCCUGAGCCGCACACGCGCA